AGAAUAAUAACAAGAAAGUACAGAUUCGGAAGGACGAACUUUUCGUUUACCUCCGAAUUUCUCUUCAAACAGGUCAUAUUGUAGGAUAUCAGCAUACUUUCCGCGGUGAAUACAUGAACGCACAAAAGAUAUAUGGAUGCUAACAUUAUUUCGUUUAACGGAAUCAUCGAGCAACGCAAACAAUUCUUUUUCAUAUUAUUUUCCGAGAUACGAAGCCGCGGUUCUGUUCUUAAUGGGAACUACGACGGUUGACUGAAACGAAACAGAAAAGAAAUGAAAAUUCAAUUCAUUGCCUAUAAAAUAUGUUAAUUAUUUUUCGACAUAAUUCCUAUUUGCAUCAAUCUAUAUUUGGCAACGAGUUUUUUCAUUCCGUCAGCGAGCAAUUCUACUGGAUACUUCUAGUAAACUUUUAAUAAACAACUUCAACUGCUCUUAAGCUGCUCUCUUAACUUCAUUUUCACACUUGAAAUGAGUUCCCCAUCUCGUUAUUUUCCAUUUAUAAUUUGUAUAAAAUGACACUAAAUCGUCACCGCGAUGUGUGUAUUAUCCUCUGCUUAUACUCUAAAUCACACCUCCCGCGGCCACAUCUGCAGGCUGCUCGAGCGGA